rnacentral:rRNA from 1 species
AUGGGGUCGCGGCCCAUUAGGUAGACGGCGGGGUAACGGCCCACCGUGCCCGCGAUGGGUAGCCGGACUGAGAGGUCGACCGGCCACAUUGGGACUGAGAUACGGCCCAGACUCCUACGGGAGGCAGCAGUGGGGAAUUUUGCGCAAUGGGGGGAACCCUGACGCAGCAACGCCGCGUGCGGGACGAAGGCCUUCGGGUUGUAAACCGCUUUCAGCAGGGAAGACAUAGACGGUACCUGCAGAAGAAGCUCCGGCUAACUACGUGCCAGCAGCCGCGGUAAUACGUAGGGGGCGAGCGUUAUCCGGAUUCAUUGGGCGUAAAGCGCGCGUAGGCGGCCGCCUAAGCGGAACCUCUAAUCCCGGGGCUCAACCUCGGGCCGGGUUCCGGACUGGGCGGCUCGAGUGCGGUAGAGGCAGGCGGAAUUCCCGGUGUAGCGGUGGAAUGCGCAGAUAUCGGGAAGAACACCGAUGGCGAAGGCAGCCUGCUGGGCCGCCACUGACGCUGAGGCGCGAAAGCUGGGGGAGCGAACAGGAUUAGAUACCCUGGUAGUCCCAGCCGUAAACCCUCUUAGGGGAGGUGUGGGGGGGCCAUCCCCCCGCCCCGCAGCCAACGCAUUAAACUUCCCGCCUGGGGAGUACGGCCGCAAGGCUAAAAUUCAAAGGAAUUGACGGGGGCCCGCACAAGCAGCGGAGCAUGUGGUUUAAUUUGAAGCAACGCGAAGAACCUUACCAGGGCUUGACAUGCGAGUGAAGCCGCGGAGACGCGGUGGCCGAGAGGAGCUCGCGCGGGUGGUGCAUGGCUGUCGUCAGCUCGUGUCGUGAGAUGUUGGGUUAAGUCCCGCAACGAGCGCAACCCCCGUCCCGUGUUGCCAGCAUUGAGUUGGGGACUCGCGGGAGACUGCCGGCGUCAAGCCGGAGGAAGGUGGGGGGGACGUCAAGUCAUCAUGCCCCUUAUGCCCUGGGCUGCACACGUGCUACAAUGGCCGGUACAGAGGGUUGCCACCCCGCGAGGGGGAGCGGAUCCCGGAAAGCCGGUCCCAGUUCGGAUCGCAGGCUGCAACCCGCCUGCGUGAAGUCGGAGUUGCUAGUAAUCGCGGAUCAGCAUGCCGCGGUGAAUAAGUUCCCGGGCCUUGCACU